rnacentral:rRNA from 1 species
AGAGUUUGAUCCUGGCUCAGAACGAACGCUGGCGGCAGGCUUAACACAUGCAAGUCGACGCACCGCAAGGUGAGUGGCAGACGGGUGAGUAACGCGUGGGAACGUGCCCUUCAGUUCGGGAUAACCCAGGGAAACUUGGGCUAAUACCGGAUACGUGCGAGAGCAGAAAGAUUUAUCGCUGAAGGAUCGGCCCGCGUCUGAUUAGCUAGUUGGUGGGGUAAUGGCCCACCAAGGCGACGAUCAGUAGCUGGUCUGAGAGGAUGAUCAGCCACAUUGGGACUGAGACACGGCCCAAACUCCUACGGGAGGCAGCAGUGGGGAAUAUUGGACAAUGGGCGCAAGCCUGAUCCANNCAUGCCGCGUGAGUGAUGAAGGCCUUAGGGUUGUAAAGCUCUUUCGCACGCGACGAUAAUGACGGUAGCGUGAGAAGAAGCCCCGGCUACUUCGUGCCAGCAGCCGCGGUAAUACGAAGGGGGCUAGCGUUGUUCGGAAUCACUGGGCGUAAAGGGCGCGUAGGCGGCCUGAUAAGUCGGGGGUGAAAGCCUGUGGCUCAACCACAGAAUUGCCUUCGAUACUGUCGGGCUUGAGACCGGAAGAGGUAAGUGGAACUGCGAGUGUAGAGGUGAAAUUCGUAGAUAUUCGCAAGAACACCAGUGGCGAAGGCGGCUUACUGGUCCGGUUCUGNNNNUGAGGCGCGAAAGCGUGGGGAGCAAACAGGAUUAGAUACCCUAGUAGUCC